rnacentral:rRNA from 1 species
AACGUAGGUGGCGAGCGUUAUCCGGAUUUACUGGGCGUAAAGCGUGUGCAGGCGGGGCUCCAAGUGGUGUUUGAAAUUUCCCAGCUUAACUGGGAGAGGUUAUGCCAGACUGGAGGUCUAGAGUGCGGAGAGGGGCGUGGAAUUCCGGGUGUAGUGGUGAAAUGCGUAGAGAUCCGGAGGAACCCCAGAGGCGAAGGCGGCGCCCUGGCUCGCAACUGACGCUCAGACACGACAGCAUGGGGAGCGAACGGG